CCUACGGGCGGCUGCAGUGGGGAAUAUUGGACAAUGGGGGCAACCCUGAUCCAGCCAUGCCGCGUGUGUGAAGAAGGCCCUCGGGUUGUAAAGCACUUUCAGUGAGGAAGAACGCCUGGUGGUUAAUACCCAUCAGGAAAGACAUCACUCACAGAAGAAGCACCGGCUAACUCCGUGCCAGCAGCCGCGGUAAUACGGAGGGUGCGAGCGUUAAUCGGAAUUACUGGGCGUAAAGCGCGCGUAGGUGGCUUGAUAAGCCGGUUGUGAAAGCCCCGGGCUCAACCUGGGAACGGCAUCCGGAACUGUCAAGCUAGAGUGCAGGAGAGGAAGGUAGAAUUCCCGGUGUAGCGGUGAAAUGCGUAGAGAUCGGGAGGAAUACCAGUGGCGAAGGCGGCCUUCUGGACUGACACUGACACUGAGGUGCGAAAGCGUGGGUAGCAAACAGGAUUAGAUACCCUUGUAUC
rnacentral:rRNA from 1 species